AUUGAACGCUGGCGGCAGGCCUAACACAUGCAAGUCGAGCGGGGUUUUCGGACCUAGCGGCGGACGGGUGAGUAAUGCGUAGGAGGCUACCCGAUAGAGGGGGAUACCAGUUGGAAACGACUGUUAAUACCGCAUAAUGUCUACGGACCAAAGUGUGGGACCUUCGGGCCACAUGCUAUCGGAUGCGCCUACGUGGGAUUAGCUAGUUGGUGGGGUAAUGGCUCACCAAGGCGACGAUCCCUACGCUGGUUUGUAGAGGAUGAUCAGCCACACUGGGACUGAGACACGGCCCAGACUCCUACGGGAGGCAGCAGUGGGGGAA
rnacentral:rRNA from 1 species